UACGAAGGGGCUAGGCGUUGCUCGGAAUCACUGGGCGUAAAGGGUGCGUAGGCGGGUUUUUAAGGUCAGAGGUGAAAUCCUGGAGCUCAACUCCAGAACUGCCUUUGAUACUGAGAAUCUUGAGUAUGGGAGAGGUGAGUGGAACUGCGAGUGUAGAGGUGAAAUUCGUAGAUAUUCGCAAGAACACCAGUGGCGAAGGCGGCUACCUGGACCAGCACUGACACUGAGGCACGAAAGCGUGGGGAGCAAACAGGG
rnacentral:rRNA from 1 species